rnacentral:lncRNA from 1 species
AUUUGAUUAAAAAUGGCAGAUGUUCAAUGUUUUCAGGUUUCCCUCUAAUAACGUUGGAACUAUUUUUUAUGACAUUCAAUAUAGAUUAUGCCAUUAAAGAUGUUUUGAUGACAUAUAUUUUAAUCCCUUUUAAUUAUUCCAAAAUAAAAAAUAUUUUUAUUGAAAAUAGGCAAUUAGUUUUUUCAGAAUUACAAUACUUAUUAUUUUGGCUUCAGUUCAAUCAUAUUCAAGGAUAUUGUAUACUUAAAAUUAUUAGUCCUUCCCGUUAAAUUGUACCAGAAGUUAAAUUUAUUGAACCCUAUAUAUUCUACCUUGUUAAGAUUCAGAUUUUGAAAAGAAUCUGAUAGACCCAUAUAUCAGUUUAGGUUGAAUGGAUGGCUAGCCAUUUCUUAUUUCUUGACAUUUUUAGCUACUUUUUGAAAGAAAAUGAAGCUUAUGAGAACCAUCAUGUUGUUUGGAUAUCUAUAUGUCCCCACAAAUAACUUUUUAAUUAAUAUAUUUUCAAGAAGUAUGGUAAUUAUGUUCUCUCAUUACAGAUAGCAUCAGGGCAACAGAAUUUAACCUUCAAAUUUUAGCUAUUUAAAAAUAGCAGGCAUCCAAAAUUCUGAGAUAAUCCUGAACUAUUGAAUUUUUAUGAAAUUUAACAGAAUUGGUCAAGUCAUUGCAGAUGAUCUCAAUAACCUGAAUUAAGUGUCUUUUAUCUUCAAUCAUUUAAAAAUAGC